CCCGCUCAGAAACUCAAAUGAAUUGACGGGGCCGCACAAGCGGUGGAGUAUGUGGUUUAAUUCGAUGCAACGCGAAGAACCUUACCUGGUCUUGACAUCCCGGAGACCCUUAGGAAACUAGGGGGUGCUUCCAUCUGGAAGAAUCUGGAGACAGGUGCUGCAUGGCUGUCGUCAGCUCGUGUCGUGAGAUGUUGGGUUAAGUCCCGCAACGAGCGCAACCCUUGCCUUUAGUUGCCAGCAGUUCGGCUGGGCACUCUAAAGGGACUGCCGGUGUUAAACCGGAGGAAGGUGGGGAUGACGUCAAGUCCUCAUGGCCUUUAUGACCAGGGCUACACACGUACUACAAUGGCCGAUACAAAGGGCAGCGACACUGCGAGGUGAAGCCAAUCCCGUAAAAUCGGUCUCAGUCCGGAUUGGAGUCUGCAACUCGACUCCAUGAAGUUGGAAUCGCUAGUAAUCGUGGAUCAGCAUGCCACGGUGAAUACGUUCCCGGGCCUU
rnacentral:rRNA from 1 species